rnacentral:rRNA from 1 species
GACGAACGCUGGCGGCGUGCUUAACACAUGCAAGUCGAACGGGAAGGCUCCAUCUUGCUGGGGUAGACGAGUGGCGAACGGGAGAGGAACACGUGGGUGACCUGCAUCGCACCUCGGGAUAAGACUGCGAAAUCGGGUCUCAUACCGGAUAGGACCGCAACGUUAGGGUGUGGUGGAAAGUCUGGUCGCUGUGGGAGGGGCCCGUGGCCUAUCAGCUUGUUGGUGGGGUGAUGGCCUACCAAGGCGGCGACGGGUAGACGGCCUGAGUGGGUGGACGGCGACAUUGGGGCUGAGACACGGCCCAGACUCCUACGGGAGGCAGCAGUGGGGAAUAUUGCACAAUGGGCGGAAGCCUGAUGCAGCGACGCCGCGUGGGGGAUGACGGCCUUCGGGUUGUAAACUCCUUUCACCAUCGACGAAGGGUUUCUGACGGUAGAUGGAGAAGAAGCACCGGCUAACUACGUGCCAGCAGCCGCCGUAAUAC